GGAACUUGAAGAAAUAGUUUUAUCAGGUAAAGCGAAUGAUUAGAAGCUCUGGGGGAUGAAACAUCCUCGACUUAUUCUCAAACUUUAAAUAGGUAAGAUGAUUGCAGUACUUAAUUGACUGUCAGUCUCUUGAAUAGAAAGUUCUUAGUGGGCCAUUUUUGGUAAGCAGAACUGGCGAUGUGGGAUGAACCAAACGUAAAGUUAAAGUGCCUAAAAGUACGUUCAUCAGAUACCACAAAAGGUGUUGAUUCAUCUUGACAGUUGGACAGUGGCCAUGGAAGUCGGAAUCUGCUAAGGAGUGUGUAACAACUCACCAACCGAAUGAAUUAGCCCUGAAAAUGGAUGGCGCUUAAACGUACUACUUAUACUUUACCAUUAAAGUAAAUGCUAAACUUUUAAUGAGUAGGAGGGCGUAUGGAUAAUUUAGAAGACUGAUAGUGAUAUUGG
rnacentral:rRNA from 1 species